rnacentral:lncRNA from 1 species
GAACGCUUGAGCCCAGGAGUUCGAGGCUGCAGUGAGCUGUGAUCACCACUGCACUCCAGCCUGGGUGACAGAGUGAGACCCUGUCUCAAAUCAAAAACCAAUACAAAGAAGAAAAAUGAAAGAAACCGAAAAUGGAGGAAACAGCAACCAAAAUGCCUGUUGACUGGAGAAUGUUUGUGCCCAUGUGGUCCAGGCACAUGCGAGGUGAGUUUUUGCCACUGUGGAGAUGAAUUCUUUCGGGUUCACAUGAAGAUGAGGGUGAUCAACAGUGCAGGGACUCACAGUGCAGCCUUGAAGGGAAAGAGGGAAUGUCGGGAGAUUGUGUCCCACGUGGUUCACAUGCAUUCAGUGAACCGCUUACAAAAGCAGCAAAGGCCAGAGAGAGCGCAAGAUUGGGUGUGGGUGCCUGUGCUGGGGAGGUGGGAAGGUUGGUCUCUGUGAACGUGGGGGAGCGGGGACUUACUGCCCGUGUGGUGGGGCUUGGGUUGGGUGGAGUGUUUGUGACGUCUCAAAGAUAGCGUCUAGGAAAAGGCAGCAGGAUGCCAAGUCUGGAGGCCCCGGAUCAGUGGUGUGGCACAGCGACGUGUGGACAACCUGGUUGGUCCAAAAGACUUAGUCCCAGCAGUGCUAAUCAAUGGGUGUGGGCCUCCCCCAUCUCCACGUGUGGGGCAGCAGAUGAGACGGUGCUUGCCACCUUGUCAAUGGCUGUGAGGACCAAGAGGGAGAUACAGCAGAGCUCAGAGCAGACAAGCAAAGGAAACAUCAAAUGCCAAGGGGAUCUGAAGACUUCCUGCCACAUCUGCAAGAAGUCAGGACUGUGGGUGCUGCCCCGGAGGCUGCUGGGGAGCACAGAGACUCCUCAGGGAGCACGUUGUGUACCUGCAGCCGUCUUCCCCACUGGGCCAUGCAGGUGGCCUGGCACACCCCACAGAGGGCGACUUGGGAUCCUUCUUCAGUCCAUGCUCUGAAGGAGCAAAUGCGUGACUGUCCCUGACCACAAGCAGCCCUCGCACACAGACCCCACCUGCCUCAGCACCCUGCGGCCCUCUCCGCUGGAUUCCUAGACGCCAUGGAGAUGGUAGGAGCUGGUGCAGGAGCUGCAGCCGUCCUCCCUCCUCUAUGCCUUUGCUGUCCCUGAUUCACCCCCAGGGCCCUUCCUGCCCCUGCUGAGUCUGCACCUCAGCCACUUCGCCUCCACCCGGUUCCUUGUCCUCCACCCAGACUGCUGACCUCCGCCCAGCCCGUCGUCCUCCACCCAGCCUGUCAUCCUCUGCCCAGCCCGUCGUCCUCCAACCAGCCCACCGUCCUCCGCUUUCAGAAACGCACAGCUCACUGCCUCAAGCUUGGGCUGGCAUCAGGCUGGCAGCCAGCAGUGGGAGCUUGCCAAUCACUUUGAGAGGGGUCAGCAUGUGAAGAGAUAUCAAAGAUUUCACUACUCGAACCCGUGUCAGAAGCUGACCACACCCCAAGCUAGUCAAGUGUUUAGAACGGAGCCAUAGUCUGAUGGGUGUUUCUGUGGAGGCCUCUCCUGCAGUUCUCUUGAACCUGGCCUGCUGUGUCUCUAUUCCACCUGGUCCCUUGAGAAUCCUCCAGAAGCCAGAUGACUCCUGCAUCCGUCUCCUCCUUCUGUGCUCCAGUCCCUCUCCCUGAGGGCAGCCUAUUGACCAGGUUGCAAGAAGAACCCAGGCUGACUUUCUCUCCAUGGGGCCCUCAUCUGAUCCACUGAAAAUACUCACAUAUCUCCAGUGCCAGCCUCAGAG